AGUUGUUUGGGAUUGCAGCUUAAAAUGGGAGGUAAAUUUCUCCUAAGGCUAAAUAUUGGUGAGAGACCGAUAGCGAACAAGUACCGUGAGGGAAAGAUGAAAAGUAUUUUGAAAAGAAGGUCAAAUAGUACGUGAAAUUGUUGAAAGGGAAACGAUUGAAGUCAGUCGUACCGACGAGCAAUCAGCCUUUUGGGUGCGAUUAUGUGGUACAUGAAAAGAUUUCGUGAAUUGCAUAUUUGUGCAUUUUGGGUGUAUUUGCUCGUAUGGUUGGUUAACAUCAAUUCUGGUCAUCAUAAAAUGACGGGAGGAAUGUAGCUUUCUCGGAAGUAUUAUAGCCUCUGGUAGAUGUGAUGAUUGGGAUUGAGGAUUGCAACGAAUACCCUCUGGGCUACCCGCCUGGUCUCUGGUCGUCGCUUUGGUGCCGAAAGCGUGCUUACGGUUUCAAAGUUAGGUGGCCAAAAGGUUAGAACGGGUUAAAUUCGUUAAGGAUGUUGACGUA
rnacentral:rRNA from 1 species